GACGAACGCUGGCGGCGUGCUUAACACAUGCCAGUCGAACGGUAAGGCCCUUCGGGGUACACGAGUGGCGAACGGGUGAGUAACACGUGGGUAAUCUGCCCUGCACAUCGGGAUAAGCCUGGGAAACUGGGUCUAAUACCGAAUAGGACCACAGGACACAUGUCCUGUGGUUGAAAGCUUUUGCGGUGUGGGAUGGGCCCGCGGCCUAUCAGCUUGUUGGUGGGGUGAUGGCCUACCAAGGCGACGACGGGUAGCCGGCCUGAGAGGGUGUCCGGCCACACUGGGACUGAGAUACGGCCCAGAGUGCUACGGGAGGCAGCAGUGGGGAAUAUUGCACAAUGGGCGAAAGCCUGAUGCAGCGACGCCGCGUGGGGGAUGACGGCCUUCGGGUUGUAAACCUCUUUCACCAUCGACGAAGGUCCGGGUUUUCUCGGGCUGACGGUAGGUGGAGAAGAAGCACCGGCCAACUACGU
rnacentral:rRNA from 1 species